rnacentral:rRNA from 1 species
GACGUAGGGCGCGAGCGUUGUCCGGAAUUAUUGGGCGUAAAGAGCUCGUAGGCGGCUUGUUGCGUCGACUGUGAAAACCCGCGGCUCAACCGUGUGGCUUGCAGUCGAUACGGGCAGGCUAGAGUUCGGUAGGGGAGACUGGAAUUCCUGGUGUAGCGGUGAAAUGCGUAGAUAUCCGGAGGAACACCGGUGGCGAAGGCGGCUUCCUGGACCGACACUGACGCUGAGGCGCGAAAGCUAGGGGAGCAAACGGG